rnacentral:rRNA from 1 species
AGCGAACGCUGGCGGCAGGCCUAACACAUGCAAGUCGAACGAACCUUUCGGGGUUAGUGGCGGACGGGUGAGUAACACGUGGGAACGUGCCUUUAGGUUCGGAAUAACUCAGGGAAACUUGUGCUAAUACCGAAUGUGCCCUUCGGGGGAAAGAUUUAUCGCCUUUAGAGCGGCCCGCGUCUGAUUAGCUAGUUGGUUGAGGUAAUGGCUCACCAAGGCGACGAUCAGUAGCUGGUCUGAGAGGAUGAUCAGCCACAUUGGGACUGAGACACGGCCCAAACCCCUACGGGGGGCAGCAGUGGGGAAUAUUGCGAAAUGGGAGAAAGCCUAACGCAGCCAGGCCGGGGAAAGGAUGAAGGUCUUAGGAUUGAAAAAUUCUUGCACCGGGGACGAUAGUGACGGUACCCGUAGAAGAAGCCCCGGCUAACUUCG